rnacentral:rRNA from 1 species
UACGUAGGGUGCAAGCGUUAAUCGGAAUUACUGGGCGUAAAGCGUGCGCAGGCGGUUUGCUAAGACAGGUGUGAAAUCCCCGGGCUUAACCUGGGAACUGCGCUUGUAACUGGCAAGCUAGAGUGUGGCAGAGGGGGGUGGAAUUCCACGUGUAGCAGUGAAAUGCGCAGAUAUCGAGGAAGAACACCCGUGGCGAAAGCGGCUCUCUGGGAACGGUACUGACGGCUGAGACGCGAAAGCGUGGGGAGCGAACAGG